GUAGAAAGAGCCGGCGAGUUACUAUUGCAUGCGAGGUUAAGUCGAUAUAGAUGGAGCCGUAGUGAAAGCGAGCCUUAAU
rnacentral:rRNA from 1 species